rnacentral:rRNA from 1 species
UAUAAGACUGGGAUAACUUCGGGAAACCGGGGCUAAUGCCGGAUAAUAUUUAGAACCGCAUGGUUCUAAAGUGAAAGAUGGUUUUACUAUCACUUAUAGAUGGACCCGCGCCGUAUUAGCUAGUUGGUGGGGUAAUGGCUUACCAAGGCAACGAUACGUAGCCGACCUGAGAGGGUGAUCGGCCACACUGGAACUGAGACACGGUCCAGACUCCUACGGGAGGCAGCAGUAGGGAAUCUUCCGCAAUGGGCGAAAGCCUGACGGAGCAACGCCGCGUGAGUGAUGAAGGUCUUCGGAUCGUAAAACUCUGUUAUUAGGGAAGAACAAAUGUGUAAGUAACUGUGCACGUCUUGACGGUACCUAAUCAGAAAGCCACGGCUAACUACGUGCCAGCAGCCGCGGUAAUACGUAGGUGGCAAGCGUCAUCCGGAAUUAUUGGGCGUAAAGCGCGCGUAGGCGGUUCCUUAAGUCUGAUGUGAAAGCCCACGGCUCAACCGUGGAGGGUCAUUGGAAACUGGGAAACUUGAGUGCAGAAGAGGAAAGUGGAAUUCCAUGUGUAGCGGUGAAAUGCGCAGAGAUAUGGAGGAACACCAGUGGCGAAGGCGACUUUCUGGUCUGUAACUGACGCUGAUGUGCGAAAGCGUGGGGAUCAAACAGGAUUAGAUACCCUGGUAGUCCACGCCGUAAACGAUGAGUGCUAAGUGUUAGGGGGUUUCCGCCCCUUAGUGCUGCAGCUAACGCAUUAAGCACUCCGCCUGGGGAGUACGACCGCAAGGUUGAAACUCAAG